CUUUGCUGGCGACCGGCGCACGGGUGAGUAACACGUAUCCAACCUGCCCUUUACUCGGGGAUAGCCUUUCGAAAGAAAGAUUAAUACCCGAUAGCAUAAUGAUUCCGCAUGGUUUCAUUAUUAAAGGAUUCCGGUAAAGGAUGGGGAUGCGUUCCAUUAGGUUGUUGGUGAGGUAACGGCUCACCAAGCCUUCGAUGGAUAGGGGUUCUGAGAGGAAGGUCCCCCACAUUGGAACUGAGACACGGUCCAAACUCCUACGGGAGGCAGCAUG
rnacentral:rRNA from 1 species